rnacentral:rRNA from 1 species
GUAGGAGGCAAGCGUUAUCCGGAUUCACUGGGCGUAAAGCGCGUGCAGGUGGCGCGGUAAGUUGGGCGUGAAAUCUCCCGGCUCAACUGGGAGAGGUCGUUCAAUACUACCGUGCUUGAGAGCAGAAGAGGAAGAUGGAAUUCCCGGUGUAGUGGUGAAAUGCGUAGAUAUCGGGAGGAACACCAGUGGCGAAGGCGAUCUUCUGGUCUGUUUCUGACACUCAGACGCGACAGCUAGGGUAGUAAACGGGAUUAGAGACCCCGGUAAUCCUAGCCGUAAACGAUGUGAACUUGGCGUUGGUGGGUUAAACUCCAUCAGUGCCGUAGCAAACGCGAUAAGUUCACCGCCUGGGGACUACGGCCGCAAGGUUA